rnacentral:lncRNA from 1 species
GCAUGUGUAGUGUGGAGUUUGACGUGUAAACUUGCUAGAGAGUGUGGUCUCCAGCCCAGGGAGUGUCUAAGGACUUCGUGGUGGUUGUCUUUCAGGAAUGAACCUCAUAGGAAAUCAUCUGUCCCUCCUUCAAUGAUCAUGGCCUCCAUACGCAGGAGAGUUGACAGGAUUCUACUGGGUGACUCCACAGGCCACUAAGGGUUCCAAGAAACCUGAUAUUGCUGUGGUUCUUCUGUGUGGUCCUGCCCAUCUGAUCCACUGCUCUGCCCACUCUGCCUCCUCUCAUCCAUAGAAGGACCAGCCCUGCAUCCCCUAGGUUCCUGAGUCCUCUAAGUCAUUACUUGUAAUUUUUAUUGUGACCAAAGAGAUACUCUAGCAGGAGACAGGCAGUGGGAAGAGAAUAGUCACUCACCGCUGCUGCCCCCUACCCCUCCACCCCAGAGGUCCAGAUUCAGGGACUUUAGCCACGCUUCCUGAGGCCUGGCAUAUCACAGAACUUGCUGGAAGUCACUUGUGAGGCAAGCCCUUGGCAAGCAGCACUGAGUAUGACAUUAUCUGCUGUGACGGAGGUCUAAUAUCAGAUCAUUUACGCGACCUUGUCCAACAAGGACAGAAGUAAAUAUCUUCCACGCACAUGCCAUCCGAUCCAGGCAACAGCCCAGGGAGGAGGACUGCUGUUUCUCCUCACACUGUGCAAGUGGAGGUGCAGAAAGGAGGGGCCACUGGAGCCUAACUUCCACCCACCCUCAGCUGUUUUACACCUGAGCCCUCAGGGAGGCUGCAACUCGGUUUUUUUAUGAGGUUAAUGGGAAAAUGUGCUGUGUGAUACGAGCCCCAGCAGAAGAGGAAACAGCCCAGGGGUAGAUUUUAGCAAGAAAGAACUGAAAGCUUGAGAAUGAUGGUAGACUGCCACAAGUCCCUUGCUGGGUCACCUGUCCCCUCUUGCCGUAACAAUGAAGGCCUAUGCUUGCAUCUCAGUUUUGACAUGACUGCCCAGAGGUGUCUACACAAGCACUCAACAGCUCCUACUUGGUUUAAAUCUCACUUCCCCUAUGAAGCCUUCCUGGACCUUCCAAAGGGUAUCUUUGAUGUGUGCUAACAUAAUCACUCAUAGUUGCCCAUAUGCACCCACCCAACCCCCCAAGCCUGCUGAUGCUAAACUUUCUUUCAAAAUGGGGAAGUAUUUGCCUACAUUACCCCUCGCACAACCUCUGUUAUAUCUUACACAAUCCCCAGGUUACUCAUAAUCUUACAACAACCUGAAUGCUUUGUUAACAUUUGUUAUACUCUAUUGUUCAAUAAACAAUCAAGAGAAAAACUUUGUAUGAAUUCCA